rnacentral:rRNA from 1 species
GCCAGCAGCCGCGGUAAUUCCAGCUCCAAUAGCGUAUACUAAAGUUGUUGCGGUUAAAAAGCUCGUAGUUGGAUCUUGGAAUGUGUUCAAGCGGGUCAGCUUCUGGCUGUGCGCUGCUUGACGUGUUCUUCUAUUUGGUUUUGGUGCGGUGCGCUUAACUGCGUGUCGCUCCCGGCCGAAACGUUUACCUUGAAAAAAUUAGAGUGUUCAAAGCAGACCUGUUUGAGUCUGAAUAUUCGUGCAUGGAAUAAUGAAAUAUGAAUUCGGUUCUAUUUUGUUGGUUUUCGGAACUCGAGUUAAUGAUCAAGAGGGACAGACGGGGGCAUUCGUACUCUGCCGUUAGAGGUGAAAUUCUUGGAUCGGCGGAAGACGCGCAACUGCGAAAGCAUUUGCCAAGAAUGUUUUCUUUAAUCAAGAACGAUAGUCGGAGGUUCGAAGACGAUCAGAUACCGUCCUAGUUUCGACUGUAAACUAUGCCAGCUAACGAUCAGACAGAGUUCUCUACGACUUGUCUGGCAGUUUCCGGGAAACCAAAGCGUUUGGGUUCCGGGGGAAGUAUGGUUGCAAAGCUGAAACUUAAAGGAAUUGACGGAAGGGCACCACCAGGAGUGGAGCCUGCGGCUUAAUUUGACUCAACACGGGGAAACUCACCCGGCCCGGACACAGUGAGGAUUGACAGAUUGAGAGUUCUUUCUUGAUUCUGUGGGUGGUGGUGCAUGGCCGUUCUUAGUUGGUGGAGCGAUUUGUCUGGUUAAUUCCGAUAACGAACGAGACUCUGGCAUGUUAAAUAGUCGCGGAAGUGCGUAUGCACUUGCCGAAUUGGCUUCUUAGAGGGACUAGUGAUUUUAAUUCACACGAGAUUGAGCAAUAACAGGUCUGUGAUGCCC